GUCGAACGGCAGCACAGUGGUAGCAAUACCAUGGGUGGCGAGUGGCGGACGGGUGAGGAAUACAUCGGAAUCUACCUUGUCGUGGGGGAUAACGUAGGGAAACUUACGCUAAUACCGCAUACGAACUAUGGUUGAAAGCGGCGGACCGCAAGGCGUCGCGCGAUUGGAUGAGCCGAUGUCCGAUUAGCUAGUUGGCGGGGUAAAGGCCCACCAAGGCGACGAUCGGUAGCUGGUCUGAGAGGAUGAUCAGCCACACUGGAACUGAGACACGGUCCAGACUCCUACGGGAGGCAGCAGUGGGGAAUAUUGGACAAUGGGCGCAAGCCUGAUCCAGCCAUGCCGCGUGUGUGAAGAAGGCCUUCGGGUUGUAAAGCACUUUUGUUGGGGAAGAAAAGCACUCAAUUAAUACCUGGGUGUUCUGACGGUACCCAAAGAAUAAGCACCGGCUAACUUCGUGCCAGCAGCCGCG
rnacentral:rRNA from 1 species